UAGGCUGAUCACCUGUUCUCAUAAAGGUUU
rnacentral:piRNA from 1 species